CUUCGGGCGCGGCGCCGGCCUAAGUUCCUUGGAACAGGAUGUCACAGAGGGUGAGAAUCCCGUCUGCGGCCGGCCGCCAAGCCCGUGUGAAGCCCCUUCGACGAGUCGCGUUGUUUGGGAAUGCAGCGCAAAAUGGGUGGUAAAUUUCAUCUAAAGCUAAAUACCGGCCCGAGACCGAUAGUGCACAAGUAGCGUGAGCGAAAGACGAAAAGCACUUUGGAAAGAGGGUGAAACAGCGCGUGAAAUUGUUGAAAGGGAAGCGCUGGCCGCCAGACGGGGCCGCGCGCUCACCGCCGCGGGUUCAACCGCGGGGAUUGUGCGCGGGGCCCGGCUCGCAUCGGUUUCGGCGGCCGGAAAAAGGUUCCGGGAACGUAACUCCUUUCGGGGAGCGUUAUAGCCCGGGACGGCAUGCGGCCAGCCGGGACCGAGGUACGCGCUUCGGCUCGGAUGCGGGCGGAAUGGCGGUCAGCGACCCGUCUUGAAACACGGACCAAGGAGUCUAACAUCGGCGCGAGUGUUUGGGUGUCAAGCCCGGGCGCGGAAUGAAAUUGAACGGAGGGGGGAGCCGGGCGGGCGCACCCCCGACCGAUCCGGACGCACGCCGACGGAUUUGAGUAGGAGCGCCGCUGUUGGGACCCGAAAGACGGUGAACUAUGCCUGUAUAGGGUGAAGCCAGCGGAAACGCUGGUGGAGGCUCGCAGCGGUCCUGACGUGCAAAUCGGUCGUCAAAUAUGGGUAUAGGGGCGAAAGACUAAUCGAACCGUCUAGUAGCUGGUUCCUGCCGAAGUUUCCCUCAGGAUAGCAGCCCCGCGUGCAGUUUUAUGAGGUAAAGCGAAUGAUUAGCGGUCCGGGGGGCGCAACGCCCUUCGCCGAUUCUCAAACUUUAAAUAUGUAAGAAGCUCGUGUUACUUAGUUGAACGCGGGCGUCGAAUGCACGGGGCUAGUGGGCCAUUUUUGGU
rnacentral:rRNA from 1 species